UCUCCGUUGAUGAACCAGCGGAGGGAUCAUUACCGAGUGCAAACUCAUAACCCUUUGUGAACCUAUAUCUGUUGCUUCGGCGGCUCGCUCUCGGGCGAGCCCGCCGGUAAUAUCAGUAUCUCUGUUUGAACCCGACGAUACUUCUGAGUGUUCUUAGCGAACAGUUAAAACUUUUAACAACGGAUCUCUUGGCUCUAGCAUCGAUGAAGAACGCGGC
rnacentral:misc_RNA from 1 species